UGCCAGCAGCCGCGGUAAUACGAAGGUGGCAAGCGUUAUUCGGAAUCACUGGGCAUAAAGGGCCCGCAGGCGGUCUGGUCAGUUGGUAGUGAAAGCUUCCGGCUCAACCGGGGAAUUGCUAUCAAUACUGCUAAACUUGAGUGCUGGAGGGGUGAGUGGAAUUUCUGGUGGAGCGGUGGAAUGCGUAGAUAUCAGAAAGAACGCCGGAGGCGAAAGCGACUCAUUGGACAGCAACUGACGCUGAGGGGCGAAAGCUAGGGUAGCAAACGGGAUUAGAUA
rnacentral:rRNA from 1 species